GCGGAAGGAUCAUUAGUGAUUUGGCCUCUGGCCUAAUACAUACAUCCCAUACCUCUGUGAACCUGUUUGGCCCUCGGGCCUCAUUUCAAACAUUGUGUAAUGAACGUGAUAUAAUGAUAAUCAAUAAAACUUUCAACAACGGAUCUCUUGGCUCUCGCAUCGAUGAAGAACGCAGCGAAAUGCGAUAAGUAAUGUGAAUUGCAGAAUUCAGUGAAUCAUCGAAUCUUUGAACGCAUCUUGCGCCUUUUGGUAUUCCGAAAGGCAUGCCUGUUUGAGUGUCAUGAAAUAUCAAUCCUCUGGGGUUUUUUCCUGGUUGAUUGGACAUGGGUGCUGCCAUUGUUGGCUCACCUUAAAAGCGUUAGUGGGUUAAUCCUCUGGCAUGGACGUAAUAAGUUUCGUCUGUCCGUUGGACUGUGCUCGCUCCCAACCCCCCAUAUUUUUAUCUCUGACCUCAAAUCAGGUAGGGCUACCCGCUGAACUUAA
rnacentral:rRNA from 1 species